rnacentral:lncRNA from 1 species
CCCUAGCUAAAAGAAAGGAAUCUUCAAUAAUGUCAAUAAUGAUAAGAGGAGCAGAGCUCCCCGUAUAUACGUCGAUAACAAUUGAAGAGUCCCCUUUGAUUACAACUUCUGAGAAAUUUCUAUUCUUUGCUAACAACAUAGCUUCUCGGCAAGCCAGGCAUUCCAACACUAAAGGACCCUGAAUAUUUUGGCCAUAAUCUGCAACCCCAAUCAAGAACCUACUCGAAAUGAUUUCUGCAAACCACUGCAAUUGCCCCCAUUUGCUUCUGUUUAUCUAGCACCGCAUCAAAAUUCACCAUAUGACCUACAGGUGGUCUCCAAACCUCUGAAGAUCGAGCAUUAUGAAUUUGAGAUUCCUCACUGGAAGUUGCCAUAGCAAAAUCCACUCGAUUCCUCAUUGCUACAUUUAGGAUCUCAUUAAAAGUAAAUUGUUCCCCCUUUGAAAACUAAUGCAUUC